GUCACCACCCCGCGCAAACCCUACCCUUUCCAGCGCUACCAAACUGAUGCAGGCGCCUCCCCUCUCCCUCCCUUCCUCCCCCAACGCGCCGGCUUCCUCCACCUGCCAUACCGUGUCCCGCUGCCGCCAUGGCCUCUUCAGGAGGCACGCCCCUCCAUGGUGCGAAGCAGCAGAACAGGAUCUGGAUGAGGAAGAGAAAAUCCGGGCGCCCCAACGGUGGACCGAUCGAUGCGAGGUGAAGACGAUAUCCUACGGACGUGGGGGAGCAGCGAGGCCCGAGAUCCAGUCGGCGCAUGCCCCACGGGGUUGGGGAGAGGCCGGCAAUAGGGGCAAGGGGCAUGGUCGAAGCUGCAGCGCUCCAGUCCCCAAGCCGCCUCCAGGCUCGCUUCCUCCUCCAUCCUCCCUCGUCGAUCGCACCCCUCCUCCCGCAUCUCACCCAUCUCGAUGGAUACGAGGCGUGCGGGCACAGAUGCGAGGUUCUCCGGCGGCGACGGUAACCGCCAGGCAGAGAGCGACCUGAGAGGAGACAGGCCAUGGAGAUGGGAUGAGGACGUCCAUGGCCAGCCAAUCGAGCCCCACCUCCGGUGCGCGACCCCAAGAAUGAUUUUGCGCUGCCGUCUUCUUUCAUCGGUCCGUGCCCCGGAAGAGUGACACCAGCCAGGCAUUGUAUGGGAAUGAAGCAAAAAGCAUGAAGAAAAUAGAGCAGGUCAUGUGUCAUCGUGCACGCAGUCUGCCUUCCAAUGGCAUAGGAAGGCAAGGAUAACUAGAUUAAACAUUUCACAAGACCCUCCCAAUUACAGCCACAAACUCCUUUCAAGAUAUUACAAGUGUGGUUGAUUACGGGAGAUUGUUAGAUGAAAAGAAGGUAUAUCCUUUAUAUUUAUCUAGAUGUUUAAUUAGCUGCACAACCAUACGGAUUCUAUAAGGAAACUAUUUAUCUUGAUGAUCUUGAUAUCCAGUCGUGUAUUACAGUAUUAGUAUUGGCUGUAAAUUUUGGCUAGGAAUCUAUAUAUACAGUCAUGUAUGAAUGGGCUAUGAUUCUUUUUUCCUUCUGAAUAGAUUCUUUUUUUUGUUCACUCCCUGUGAAAUAAUUUCAGAGCUAAUGUGUUGUAGUAAUUACUAGAUCAUUAUUGGCGCGCGUUGCUGCGCCCAUCUAUUUGGGCGAAAAAAUAUAGGAAUUUUUAUAAAAGUAUAAAUGCAAGGAGACAAAAGGUAAACAUAAUUGGAUUAUAAAGUAUUCAAAAGCAUAAAAUAGUCUGACAAAAGUUGUUUCAUAGAAGUUUGUGCAUACAAUGUUACAUAUCCAUUUGUAGCUUAUGGCUACCUUAAAUGAAAAGGUCAAAAAAUAAAUUGACGCAAUACCUCUCACUUUAACUUAAACAACAUCACCUGACUACUAUGAACAUGCUUUAUAAGAAGAAAAUCAUGCAUGUGUGCACCUUUGAUGGAUGAUCAUCAUAAUAAUUUCCACAAGGAAAGAAAACCAUCCAUGAUUAUCCUUAUGUUCAACAAAAUAAAGGGUAUAUAUAAAUGCUUCAUCUUUGUUUUCUGAUGUCUAGAUUGACUAAUGGUUUUCAGGUGUCUUGGAACAAUCCAUGUGAAGAUGUGUACAUCAUAUCAGCUAAAGUCAUUUGUACAAUCCAGAAGACAAAUAACUAACUAAAUAGACAACAAAGCUUACAUGUAAAUAAACCGCAAGAAGUUACAAAAAUAAAGUAAGCAAGAUGUGAGCAUAUACAUGUAGUAGCUUCUGAAGGGCCUUUCUUUGGCAAGAAAGCUUCUGCCUAAGGUUUUCUAAAAUCUCUAAUAAUUGGUAGACAUGAAAUUUACUUUUAAAAGCAUAACUAAGAGACUAUAGUACUGCUCAGUAAUAAAUACAUGGUUCGGUAUAGCCUUAACAAUUGAUCUCUCAUCGUAAUCAAGAUCAAGCAAUGUCCACAGAAACUCAAAAAAGAAUCAGAGUCAGUGUAUCCUUGCCAUUGGACCAAAAGUAGAAUGAUUGAAUCAUCAUAUUAGAAGCAAAUACCCAUGGUGCAUGAUCUGCAACACCCAUGCGUCAUUUGCAGCAGGUGAUGGUUUGUCAAUAGGCAAGUUUUAACUAUGCAUGAUAGAACCAUCACCCAAAUAUAUAAACUGUACAAGUUACAGUACCUGACCAUCUCCCAAAUAGUACCUAUAUAAGAACACAUGUUCCUCUUGACAUGUUUUUCAUUAAUUAAGUAAUAUCAACUUAACUUUCCCUUCUGCAUCCCAAGAAGCCGAGUCGUCGCGAAACUUUGUACCAAGUUAUAAACCCUCAUUGACCUAACCUAUAUAGAAUCAAGAGAAAAAGUAAGGAAAUAUGGACGGGGAUUGAGAUGGACUUGAGAAGCGGAAAAAAACAUACCUAGAAUAAAUUCAGUUCCACACCAUGAUUUUGUUUUUCCCAGCCACCCUCGUCACUGAUCUCCCCAGCAGCAAAGCUGUCGCACAUGGCCUUCCCAUGCUGCAAUGAGCAUGCGUGGGGGAGGAGGUGCCAGCUCUUGAACCAUUUGAUGUAAAUUUCACAUCCCUUGGGUAUACUUAGAUAGCUUCAACUCUCUGCUCUAUCAUUAAGACAAAAUGAUAAUUUGACUUGGUUAAAAAGUAAUAGUGAUGGUUUUGACAUUAGUUGCCAAUUGUGGGUCACAAGAUGGCAAAAACUAUUCCUACCGCACAUUUUAAAACUUGUAUAAACUAUACCCACAAAAGUUAGCUAGAGGAGAUGACAAUUCUAGUAAUUGAUAGAUGAUAUAAAAAGUAAACAUAGCAGGUGGAAAGAAUUGAAAGUCCAAACUGGUGUCGCGCAAAUAUAACAAAAGAGAUAUGUACCUCUAGAACUUUGAGAUUUGCUAUUCAUAUGCUACAGAUGUUACGUACUGACAAGGUUAAAGUUACAAACUUAUGAUCAUAAUUAUGCCCACAUCUAGAAACAUCAAUAAAGCAUAACUAAUCCUCACAAGUCAUGGCUUCUUUGAUUAGAAGAACCACAUUACGUGACCAGAUCUCAUGUUAUCACUAUCAAGAAUGUUCUAUUUUCUAAAAUCGAGCACAAAUUUUGCCUCGCCCAAAGAAAAGGACAUUACUGCUGAGCUUAAGUGGCUACAACUGAUCUUGGCAUAGUGGCCUUGUUGGCUUAAACCUGACAGUAGUUAAACAGUUGUUAGUGCAAUGUGAACACUGUCAUGUGAUUGUGUGCAUUUUAGACUUGCAGCCUGUGUGUGUUCGUGGACAAUUCAGGUUUGGCUAGUCUAGGAUUAGUGUAUUGACUGCAUAUGCUGCAGCCAAGUCGGUCCCUAGCAGUGAUUAAAAUCGUGUAUAAAUAAGAGUGGGCAUUCGUUGCUCAGCUCAAUUGUUGUAUCUGUUACAGCGGAAAAAACAAAACAAAAAGAAAGUCAUCCGUUGCCUAAAUAGAAAACUUGUCUCUCUCUCUCUGAACCUAUACUACUCUGCUUUUCCUCUGCUUCCUGUGUGUCCCAGUGAAUUGAAUCCACCUCGCAUCCACCUCGCGUGUGUUGUGUGCGCAUGUGAGGAGGGACAAGAGGGAGGGCCAGUAGCUAUCAGGACUCAGCUCGAGCACAGAGAUCCAUCACGGUAGGAGGCCAAACCAUGGUGAGAGAACAACUUACCAUCCUGCUCGCACCACCAGGGGAAGGCAUGACUGGCGAGGAGUAGGCCGAAAGCAUGGUUGCCGUCUUGGACAUCAGAGAUCCUGGGGAUGCUGGUGCAUUCAGCGCUGCCACCGGGCAAAUCGACGAGUCGCGCUAGGUGCCACAGCUUGGUCGGGGUCAAUGGAGAGGUGGCAACGCACUGGGCGGGCUGAUAAGCGGCGGAAGGCGUUGCCGCGCGAUUCUAUAAGGAAACUAUUUAUCCUGAUGAUCUUGAUAUCCAGUCGUGUAUUACAGUAUUAGUAUAGGCUGUAAAUUUUGGCUAGGAAUCUAUAUAUACAGUCAUGUAUGAAUGGGCUAUGAUUCUUUUUUCCUUCUGAAUAGAUUCUUUUUUUUGUUCACUCCCUGUGAAAUAAUUUCAGAGCUAAUGUGUUGUAGUAAUUAUUUGGCACAUCCAUAACUCAACCAGUUUAUGCGUGAUCAUUUAGUGCGUAUUUGGUUCCAAAGUGAACAAACUAUUGGCCUUCGCUAGGCAAGGAUAGGUGUUUGGUACCAAAAGAGAAAUUAACUUUGUCAACCUAACUAGCACGCAUGGGUCUAAAGCAGCUACUUUUUAUAUCCCUGGACUAUAGAUAUUACAUGCAUCAGUACUUGAUGCAUCUCUGAUAUGCUUUUGCUAUUUAUUGUGGCCCUUAAUUACUACUCUGCUGUGAACCCAGUGUUUAGGUUGCAGGCUCAACUAUAUAUCCAUGGAUGUUACACAUAUGGCAGUCUAUAAUUAUAUAUGAAUUUGCAGCUAGCUUGAACCGAAUGUGGUGAUCAAGGCUCUAAUCUGCAUUCUUUGUUUGCAUGAAUGUCAUGUGCAGAUAGGUACUAACCAUCGAGUAUUUUCCUCAUUGAUGACAAGUACUCUGAUAACAAUUUAUAAAAAUUGAUAUAAUUUCAAAAGUAUACAGAUAACCGACAAGGCAUCAAUGCUAUUGUUCAAAUGUAGUCGAGUCGAGCUUUAGGUGUUUCAGUAACAGUGCUUCUGCAUUAACCAAUUCAUCUUUGCUGUGGAUCGCCAUUUACGAAGUACCGAGUCAUAAGCAACAAAGUUUGUGGCGUGUGUCAGUAUCCGUUAUGACUCGCCAUGAGUGGAGAAUGCACUAUUUCUCUUUACUUGGAUCUAUUCUUAAAUUUUUUUAGUACCCUUGAUACUUCAUUAGUAAUCAGACAAAUUCUAGCUAAGUAGUGGUUUAACUCUUUUCUGUUAUGACCAGUUUGUUUUAUAGUCACAUCUUUUUUGUUCAUUACCUUCUGCUAAUUUUUGCUAGCCUCCGCUUAAUUUGAUUUCUAUUGUAUAAGUAAUGACACUAAGAUACAGUGCAGGCAAAAAUGAUCAUGUCUUGUAUGUCAGAAGUAUGGAUUGUUGUAUAAUCUAUGUUAUGAAAUUUUGUAGGAACAAGCCUGGAAUUCCUUGAACACCUAGGUGAGCCAAAGACAACGAUGCUAAAUUUGUCUGUGUUUCUGCAGGCAUGUGGUGUGAUCAUUGUUAACCAUUGUAUUCAUAUGUUUGAAACUUAUCUAUACACUUAUCCCAAGCAAUCUUGCACUGCCCUACUCUUAAAAUUUAGCCAACCUUACAUUGUUACUAAUAACACUUCAUUUAUCAAGGUGUACGAAAUCCUUCCAGCUCUAUUGGUGUGGGGAGAGAUAUCGAGGCAGAAGGAAGUGGGCUCAACCUAUCAACACAAUUUGUCUGAUGUUAUUUUACAAGGAUUAUUGCUUCCUUUAUUUUUCUUGCUAUUACUUCAAAACUUUAGCCUCCUUUCCUAAGCACUUCUACAACACUGCAUAAAAUAGAUUUUCUUUCGUGUUCAUAGAUCAUGUUGUACGCACAUUACUAAUUAUUUUUAUAUUUAUUUGAUACCUGAAACAUGUAGUGAUUAGCAUUGAUAAUCCAUACAUUGUAGUUUGUAGGCUGAAGGCUAUUUAAACAACUUGCAUCAUUGAUUCAUUUUAAGUUUUUUGCCAAAAGGCCAUGGCUGAUUCAUUUUUAGUUUUUCACUUAAAGUUGGCGGAUUCAUUUAUAGUUUUCCUCUCAAGAAAAAGAAAAGGACUUGUGCUUGAAGCAGCAAGAAGAUAGCCAAUCUAAAUUAAUCAAAACAUGAACAAGGGUCGAAAGUUACAGAUGCGGAAGUGCAGCUGGCAUCGCCUCUAUUUUUUGCCUCAAAUCAACCACAGAAAAAACUACUAGACAAUCAUCUUUUUGACAAUUUAUAGUUGACGUUCUGCUAUGAUUCACUUCCUAAAAAAUAUGUUGGUCCACUUGAAAUCCUUAUUUGACAGUUUACUUAGAAGGGUUUUCCAUCUUAAUAUGAUAAUGCAGGAUUCCUUACCUUGACCGAAUUCAGCAUUUAAUUGUUGCCUCACCAUGCAAUGUAGGCUUCAACACCAUUUUUUAAAUAUAAGCCAUAAUUUGUGUCAUCCUUAUCAAGCAGUUCCUUAUUGAAGGGGAUUUUGAUGUUCUUGGUGAAACAGAGGACUUGAAUUGAUGAUUUCUAGGAUUAGUAAACAUUAGCACAAUCCUGAUUAUCCAGUUGAGAAAUCCUAUAUUUUAAUUGCGAUAAGUAAUGUAGGCUGCAAGAGUUGUCUUUUAAGUUUUGCAAAUUCUUUUGUCAGUAGCUAAUGUUGUUUAGAAAUUUUGAUUUUCCAUUUUGUUCAUAACAUUUUGUCAUGUUUCUUCCUUUUUAUAGAGCUAUUUUGAUGGUGUGACAAUUUUUUUGGCUAUUUGACUGCUCAAAUGAUUGCAAGCAUAUGAUCUCGUCAGCUUGAGUGAUUGCAGGCGUAUCGACUACAGGCAAACGUACAGUCACAGAACAUUCUUGCUUUCCUUGUUUUGGUUAAAUUGUAGUCAAGCUACUUCCACAUGACUCUUAUCAGGGUCCGAGAAUUCUCAAAUGGGUCUGCUUCUGUUUUAGCCUGAUUUCGUUUCUACUGUAGGUGUAGCUCUAUGUCAGUAUAUACAUAUUGCACCAUUGAAGAGAUGAGAACAGUGUGUUACCUGUUUUUGCUUUUAGUAUGGCUUGAUAGACCGAGGCCCUGUUGUGGAUCAAGAGCUUGAUAUUAUUGGUUUUUAUGUUGAAACAAAUGAUGGUUG